GCAGAAGUGAGGUCUGUCGCUUGACGAGGUUUCGUCAAGAGGAAAGUCCGGGCAACAUAGGGCGACAUGUUUCCUAACGGGAAGCCGGCGGCGACGCCGGGGAUAAGUGACAGAAAACAACCGCCUCCUUUCUGGAGGUAAGGGUGAAAAGGCGGGGUAAGAGCCCACCGGCUCCUGUGGCGACACAGGAGGCCGCACAUCCCAUGUGUUGCAAGGCCAAAUAUACCGGCAAUCAAGGACGGCCCGUCCAUUGCCGGGGGGUAGGCUGCUUGAGCCCUCGGGCAACCGUGGGGCGUAGAUAAAUGACAGACACCGCUAUACGCGGCACAUAACCCGGCUUACAUCGCUUCUGCUUUA
rnacentral:RNase_P_RNA from 1 species